AUUGAACGCUGGCGGCAUGCCAUACACAUGCAAGUCGAACGGCAGCACGGGGGCAACCCUGGUGGCGAGUGGCGAACGGGUGAGUAAUGCAUCGGAACGUGCCCAGUAGUGGGGGAUAACCAGUCGAAAGGCUGGCUAAUACCGCAUACGACCUACGGGUGAAAGCGGGGGACCGUAAGGCCUCGCGCUAUUGGAGCGGCCGAUGUCUGAUUAGCUAGUUGGCGGGGUAAGAGCCCACCAAGGCGACGAUCAGUAGCUGGUCUGAGAGGACGACCAGCCACACUUGGACUGAGACACGGCCCAGACUCCUACGGGAGGCAGCAGUGGGGAAUUUUGGACAAUGGGCGCAAGCCUGAUCCAGCCAUGCCGCGUGCGGGAAGAAGGCCUUCGGGUUGUAAACCGCUCUUGGCAGGAACGAAACGGCGCAAGCCAAUACCUUGCGCUAAUGACGGUACCUGCAGAAUAAGCACUGGCUAACUACGUGCCAGCAGCCGCAGUAACAC
rnacentral:rRNA from 1 species